UCCAGCAGCUUUCAGGCCAGCAAGGGCUGCUUCUGCUGAUUCCCAGGCAGGCUUUCAUGCAUUUCCCACCCAGAUUUCUAAUUCCACACCUCGGGGCUCCACACACAAAUGAUUUUCCCUCUUUUCUACGAUGGCAGCUCGGAUAUUGGGAGAGGUCUCCGGGCCGCCCGGUGAGUCUCCUUCCGCGCCCCAGCGUGUCUGCGGGCAGGUGACAGCCGUGUGCGGCUCGCCCCUCGGACCUGGCCGGCCCCAACAUCCGGGCACCUUCUGGAGUGUCCUCAUGCCUCAGGAUCUAAGGGUACCCAGAAAGUUGUCACUGGAGCACACGAGAGUGUCCCCCUUGCAGGACGUGGCCUCCAGGGAUGAAACACAAGUUUCCUGAGGGAAAGGAGCCCAGAGACCUGGUGGUCCACAGAUGUGGAGGCUCGGGGGUGGACGGGCCCCCUGUGUCCCUCCCAGUGAACCCAGGGCCCCCUGCACUGUUUCUGAAGGCACGCUCUGCUUCUGCGAGGCUGGCAGCAGGAGGGCUCACCGUACCACGUGUGCACUUGCUGGGGCGUUCGGGAAGCCCGCGUGUCACCGUCCGAAGAGCCACCGGGCGGUUUUCCAAAAGCGGCCGCAGGCUUGUGUGUUCCGAUCUCCCGCCAGCGCGUUUGGGUCCCUGACUGCCGGUUCGAGCCCCGAGGAGCCAGGCGAGGCGUCGCUGGCCGGUGGCCGAGGGCGUCUCUUCUGCUCACUUGACGUUUGUGGCUCCUCCCGGGAAGACCGUCUGUUCAAGACCUUUGUCCGUUUACUGAGUGACCAGCUGUUUUACCGUCCAGUUGCGUUUCUGGUAUUUUUUGAGGCCUUUCCUCCGAGCUGGUCUUCAGUGUAUCUCAGCAGAAAGCGCUUGUCCUCUGUUCCUUCGAGGGAGCGCGCUGGCUCCUGCUGUCAGCGUGGAAAUGAUGACGGCGUAUUUUAAAAAUAUCUUCCCUCUCUCCCUUCUACUCGUUAUCAUCGCCGCGUUUUUAUUUGCUUGUUUCUCUUGGUGUUUACUUUUGUGUCUUUAAAUAUACGUCUGUCUCUGUUACUAGAUUCGCCCGCCCUGAAUGAUGACUUCUGACUCUCCAUCCGUCACAGAACAGAGCAAGUGGGGAGAUCCGUGUGCGCUCCCCCGGCGGUGAGCGGCGGCCGAGGACCCGAUUUGUCUCCCCUGCUUUCCUCCUGUGUAACGCAUAUUCACAAACAACAUAUUUGCUUGAGUUAUUUAUGCAAAGCAGCAUUAGUACAUA